rnacentral:rRNA from 1 species
UGGGGAAUAUUGGACAAUGGGCGAAAGCCUGAUCCAGCCAUGCCGCGUGUGUGAAGAAGGUCUUCGGAUUGUAAAGCACUUUAAGUUGGGAGGAAGGGCAGUAAGCGAAUACCUUGCUGUUUUGACGUUACCGACAGAAUAAGCACCGGCUAACUCUGUGCCAGCAGCCGCGGUAAUACAGAGGGUGCAAGCGUUAAUCGGAAUUACUGGGCGUAAAGCGCGCGUAGGUGGUUCGUUAAGUUGAAUGUGAAAGCCCCGGGCUCAACCUGGGAACUGCAUCCAAAACUGGCGAGCUGGAGUAGGGCAGAGGGUGGUGGAAUUUCCUGUGUAGCGGUGAAAUGCGUAGAUAUAGGAAGGAACACCAGUGGCGAAGGCGACCACCUGGGAUCAUACUGACACUGAGGUGCGAAAGCGUGGGGAGCAAACAGG